CCUACGGGAGGCAGCAGUGGGGAAUAUUGGGCAAUGGGCGCAAGCCUGACCCAGCAACGCCGCGUGAAGGAAGAAGGCUUUCGGGUUGUAAACCUCUUUUCUGAGGGACGAAGAAAGUGACGGUACCUCAGGAAUAAGCCACGGCUAACUACGUGCCAGCAGCCGCGGCAAUACGGAGGUGGCAAGCGUUAUCCGGAUUUAUUGGGUGUAAAGGGCGUGUAGGGGGGAAAGCAAGUCAGAUGUGAAAACUCAGGGCACAACCCUGAGCCUGCAUUUGAAACUGUGUUGCUUGAGUGCUGGAGAGGCAAGCGGAAUUCGGUGUGUAGCGGUGAAAUGCGUAGAUAUACGGAGGAACACCGGUGGCGAAGGCGGAUUGCUGGACAGUAACUGACGCUGAGGCGCGAAAGCGUGGGGAGCGAACAGGAUUAGAUACCCGUGUAGUC
rnacentral:rRNA from 1 species